GAUGAAGAACGUAGCGAAAUGCGAUAAGUAAUGUGAAUUGCAGAAUUCAGUGAAUCAUCGAAUCUUUGAACGCACAUUGCGCCCCUUGGUAUUCCGAGGGGCAUGCCUGUUCGAGCGUCAUUUCAACCCCUCAAGCUCAGCUUGGUGUUGGGCUGCGCCAGCGUGCUGGCGGGCCCUAAAAUCAGUGGCGGUGCCGCGUGGGCUCCAAGCGUAGUAGCAUCUCUCGCUCUGGGGACCCGGCGGUUGCCUGCCAGACAAUCACUAAAAAAACAAAAGGUUUGACCUCGGAUCAGGUAGGGAUACCCGCUGAACUUAAGCAUAUCAAUAAGCGGAGGA
rnacentral:misc_RNA from 1 species